ensembl:lncRNA
GCAGAAACCAGAUUGCUCACCGUAGAGAAUACUAUAGACAUCAAGAAAGGCAGUCAGUUGAUUAUUGACAAGUUUUCCAACACUUGUGAUGAACAGGGUAAAAUAGAAAUUGGCCUUCAUCUUUUCCAUCUCUCUCUUUCCAUCUCUCUCUCUGUCUUCAUCUCUCUGUCUUUCCAUCUUUCUCUCCAUCUCUCUCUCUUUCCAUCUCUCUCUCCAUCUCUCCCUCUCUUUCCAUCUCCAUCUCUCUCUCCAUCUCUCUCUCCAUCUCUCUCUCCAUCUCUCUCUCUGUCUUCAUCUCUCUGUCUUUCCAUCUCUCUCUCCAUCUCUCUCUCUGUCUUCAUCUCUCUGUCUUUCCAUCUCUCUCCAUCUCUCUCUCCAUCUUUCUCUCCAUCUCUCUCUCUCGCCAUCUCUCUCUCUGUCUUCAUCUCUCUGUCUUUCUAUCUCUCUCUCCAUCUCUCUCUGUCUUUCCAUCUCUCUCUCCAUCUAUCUCUGUCUUUCCAUCUCUCUCUCCAUCUCUCUCUGUCUUUCCAUCUCUCUCCAUCUCUCUCUCUCUCUCCAUCUCUCUCUGUCUUUCCAUCUCUCUCUCCAUCUCUCUCUCUUUCCAUCUCUCUCUCCAUCUCUCCCUCUCUCUCCAUCUCUCUCUGUCUUUCCAUCUCUCUCCAUCUCUCUCUCUCUCUCCAUCUCUCUCUGUCUUUCCAUCUCUCUCUCCAUCUCUCUCUCCAUCUCUCUCUCCAUCUCUCUCUCUGUCUUCAUCUCUCUGUCUUUCCAUCUCUCUCCAUCUCUCUCUCCAUCUUUCUCUCCAUCUCUCUCUCUCUCCAUCUCUCUCUCUCUGUCUUCAUCUCUCUGUCUUUCUAUCUCUCUCUCCAUCUCUCUCUGUCUUUCCAUCUCUCUCUCCAUCUAUCUCUGUCUUUCCAUCUCUCUCUCCAUCUCUCUCUGUCUUUCCAUCUCUCUCCAUCUCUCUCUCUCUCUCCAUCUCUCUCUGUCUUUCCAUCUCUCUCUCCAUCUCUCUCUCUCUCUCCAUCUCUCUCUCUUUCCAUCUCUCUCUCCAUCUCUCUCGUUGUCUUUCCAUCGCUCUCUCCAUCGCUCUCGUUGUCUUUCCAUUUCUCUCUCCAUCUCUCUCUCUGUCUUUUCCAUCCCUGUCUAUGUCUUUUCACGUGCGCCGAAUACAACAAUGAAAUGCGUACUUACAAGCCCUUAACCAACAGGCCUUACAGUGAAAUGUUUACUCACAAGGCUAUAUACAGGAGGUACCGGUACAGAGUCAAUGUGGAGACUAUAUACAGGAGGUACCGGUACAGAGUCAAUGUGGAGGCUAUAUACAGGGGGAACCGGUACAGAGUCAAUGUGGAGACUAUAUACAGGGGGAACCAGUACAGAGUCAAUGUGGAGGCUAUAUACAGGGGGUACCAGUACAGAGUCAAUGUGGAGGCUAUAUACAGGGGGUACCGGUACAGAGUCAAUGUGGAGGCUAUAUACAGGGGGUACCGGUACAGAGUCAAUGUGGAGGCUAUAUACAGGGGGUACCGGUACAGAGUCAAUGUGGAGUCUAUAUAUACAGGGGGUACCGGUACAGAGUCAAUGUGGAGUCUAUAUACAGGGGGUACCGGUACAGAGUCAAUGUGGAGGCUAUAUGCAGGGGGUACCGGUACAGAGUCAAUGUGGAGACUAUAUACAGGGUGUUACGGUACAGAGUCAAUGUGGAGGCUAUAUACAGGGGGUACCGGUACAGAGUCAAUGUGGAGGCUAUAUACAGGGGUACCGGUACAGAGUCAAUGUGGAGGCUAUAUACAGGGGGUACCGGUACAGAGUCAAUGUGGAGGCUAUAUACAGGGGGUACCGGUACAGAGUCAAUGUGGAGGCUAUAUACAGGGGGUACCGGUACAGAGUCAAUGUGCGGGAUUACCGGUUAGUUGA